rnacentral:rRNA from 1 species
CCUACGGGAGGCAGCAGUAAGGAAUAUUGGUCAAUGGGCGCAAGCCUGAACCAGCCAUGCCGCGUGCAGGAAGACGGCCCUAUGGGUUGUAAACUGCUUUUGAACAAGAGAAAACCUCGGUACGUGUACCGAGCUGAUAGUAUUGUUAGAAUAAGCAUCGGCUAACUUCGUGCCAGCAGCCGCGGUAAGACGAAGGAUGCAAGCGUUAUCCGGAUUCAUUGGGUUUAAAGGGUGCGUAGGCGGCCUGAUAAGUCAGUGGUGAAAUCUCUCAGCUUAACUGAGAAACUGCCAUUGAUACUGUCGGGCUUGAGUACAGAUGAUGUGGGCGGAAUAUGACAUGUAGUGGUGAAAUACUUAGAUAUGUCAUAGAACACCGAUUGCGAAGGCAGCUCACAAAACUGUAAACUGACGCUGAGGCACGAAAGUGCGGGGAUCAAACAGGAUUAGAUACCCUGGUAGUCCGCACCGUAAACGAUGAUUACUCGUUGUUGGCAAUAUGACCGUCAGCGACCAAGCGAAAGCGAAUAAGUAAUUCACCUGGGGAGUUACGCCGGCACGGUUGAACUUAAGUUGAAUUGAGCGNGAGAGNGCGAGGACGACGACGAGGAGAGG